rnacentral:rRNA from 1 species
CCUACGGGGGGCAGCAGUCGAGAAUCAUUCACAAUGGGGGAAACCCUGAUGGUGCGACGCCGCGUGGGGGAAUGAAGGUCUUCGGUUUGUAAACUCCUUUCAUGUGGGAGCAAAUUAAAAAGAUAGCACCACAAGAGGAAGAGACGGCUAACUCUGUGCCAGCAGCCGCGGUAAUACAGAGGUCUCAAGCGUUGUUCGGAAUCACUGGGCGUAAAGCGUGCGUAGGCUGUUUCGUAAGUCGUGUGUGAAAGGCGCGGGCUCAACCCGCGGACGGCACAUGAUACUGCGAGACUAGAGUAAUGGAGGGGGAGACGGAAUUCUCGGUGUAGCAGUGAAAUGCGUAGAUAUCGAGAGGAACACUCGUGGCGAAGGCGGGUUCCUGGACAUUAACUGACGCUGAGGCACGAAGGCCAGGGGAGCGAAAGGGAUUAGAUACCCUUGUAGUC